ACUCCUACGGGAGGCAGCAGUGGGGAAUAUUGCACAAUGGGGAAACCCUGAUGCAGCCAUGCCGCGUGUGUGAAGAAGGCCUCGGUUGUAAGCACUUCAGUAGGAGGAAGGUAGUGUAGUUAACACCUGCACUAUUUGACGUUACCUACAGAAGAAGCACCGGCUAACUCCGUGCCAGCAGCCGCGGUAAUACGGAGGGUGCGAGCGUUAAUCGGAAUUACUGGGCGUAAAACGCAUGCAGGCGGCCUGUUAAGUCAGAUGUGAAAGCCCGGGGGCUUAACCUCGGAAUUGCAUUUGAAACUGGCAGGCUAGAGUCUUGUAGAGGGGGUAGAAUUUCAGGUGUAGCGGUGAAAUGCGUAGAGAUCUGAAGGAAUACCAGU
rnacentral:rRNA from 1 species